rnacentral:rRNA from 1 species
AUACGGAGGAUCCGAGCGUUAUCCGGAUUUAUUGGGUUUAAAGGGUGCGUAGGUGGUAGAUUAAGUCAGCGGUGAAAGUUUGGGGCUCAACCUUAAAAUUGCAGUUGAUACUGGUUUCCUUGAGUACGGUACAGGUGGGCGGAAUUCGUGGUGUAGCGGUGAAAUGCUUAGAUAUCACGAAGAACUCCGAUCGCGAAGGCAGCUCACCGGGCCGGAACUGACACUGAUGCUCGAAAGUGCGGGUAUCAAACAGGAUUAGAUACCCUGGUAGUCCGCACAGUAAACGAUGAAUACUCGCUGUUUGCGAUACACUGUAAGCGGCCAAGCGAAAGCGUUAAGUAUUCCACCUGGGGAGUACGCCGGCAACGGUGAAACUUAAAGGAAUUGACGGGG